UUUGAACAGUGUGUGGUGGAGGAG
rnacentral:piRNA from 1 species